CCUUCGAUAGCUCAGUUGGUAGAGCGGAGGACUGUAGAGUGUAAACGUAAGACGUCCUUAGGUCGCUUGUUCAAAUCCGACUCAAAGGA
rnacentral:tRNA from 1 species